rnacentral:rRNA from 1 species
GAUGAACGCUGGCGGCGUGCCUAAUACAUGCAAGUCGAGCGAACGGACGAGAAGCUUGCUUCUCUGAUGUUAGCGGCGGACGGGUGAGUAACACGUGGAUAACCUACCUAUAAGACCGGGAUAACUUCGGGAAACCGGAGCUAAUACCGGAUAAUAUUUUGAACCGCAUGGUUCAAAAGUGAAAGACGGUCUUGCUGUCACUUAUAGAUGGAUCCGCGCUGCAUUAGCUAGUUGGUAAGGUAACGGCUUACCAAGGCAACGAUGCAUAGCCGACCUGAGAGGGUGAUCGGCCACACUGGAACUGAGACACGGUCCAGACUCCUACGGGAGGCAGCAGUAGGGAAUCUUCCGCAAUGGGCGAAAGCCUGACGGAGCAACGCCGCGUGAGUGAUGAAGGUCUUCGGAUCGUAAAACUCUGUUAUUAGGGAAGAACAUAUGUGUAAGUAACUGUGCACAUCUUGACGGUACCUAAUCAGAAAGCCAUGGCUAACUACGUG